rnacentral:tRNA from 1 species
AAUUACUAAGUAUAGUUUUAUACAUUUGCUUUGAAAGCUUAAAAUGAGUAACUCAGUAAUUU